rnacentral:siRNA from 1 species
GAGAUCCAAUGCAACUGCCGC